rnacentral:rRNA from 1 species
AUUUUGAAGUUUCUUUGAGGGUGCAAAGUCCCUUGAUUAGAAAAAAGACGAGAAGACCCUUAGAGUUUUUAUUAAAGAUAAGAAUUUAUUCAAGUUUUUGCUGGGGCGGCAAAGAGACAGAUGAUUAAACUCUCUUUUUAUUAUUUUUAGAAGACGAAAAUGUUAAGAAUCGUUAAACUACCUUAGGGAUAACAGCAUAAUUAAGUUUUAGUUUGUGACCUCGAUGUU